CUGGUGUUGGAAGCAUUACGUUCCAACACAAAUUAAGUAAUAGGACUUUCAUGGAGAUCUGAACCAAGCUGUUAAUGCGUAUUUUACUGAAGGCGAUAGAAACAAAUUUUUCAAAAACUUCUUCUUCAGCUUCUUUACUUUGUAAGUUAAUUGGCUUCUACUGGCUUCUAACUGAAUUGAAUCUCUAAUGGAGUCGUA